rnacentral:rRNA from 1 species
CCUACGGGGGGCAGCAGUGGGGAAUAUUGCACAAUGGGGGAAACCCUGAUGCAGCGACGCCGCGUGAGUGAAGACGUAUUUCUGUAUGUAAAGCUCUAUCAGCAGGGAAGACAAAAGACGGUACCUGACUAAGAAGCCCCGGCUAACUACGUGCCAGCAGCCGCGGUAAUACGUAGGGGGCAAGCGUUAUCCGGAUUUACUGGGUGUAAAGGGAGCGUAGACGGCUGUGCAAGUCUGAAGUGAAAGACCAGGGCUCAACCCUGGGACUGCUUUGGAAACUGUGGAGCUAGAGUGCUGGAGAGGUAAGUGGAAUGCAGAGUGUAGCGGUGAAAUGCGUAGAUAUUAGGAGGAACACCAGUGGCGAAGGCGGCUUACUGGACAGUAACUGACGUUGAGGCUCGAAAGCGUGGGGAGCAAACAGGAUUAGAUACCCGGGUAGUC